AUUGAACGCUGGCGGCAUGCUUUACACAUGCAAGUCGAGCGGUAACAGGCCUUCGGGUACUGACGAGUGGCGAACGGGUGAGUAAUGCAUCGGAACGUACCCAGAGGUGGGGGAUAACGCAGCGAAAGCUGUGCUAAUACCGCAUGUGAUCUGAGGAUGAAAGCGGGGGACCGAGCAGCAAUGUUUGGCCUCGCGCCUUUGGAGCGGCCGAUGUCGGAUUAGCUAGUUGGUGGGGUAAAGGCCUACCAAGGCGACGAUCCGUAGCUGGUCUGAGAGGACGACCAGCCACACUGGGACUGAGACACGGCCCAGACUCCUACGGGAGGCAGCAGUGGGGAAUUUUGGACAAUGGGCGCAAGCCUGAUCCAGCAAUGCCGCGUGCGGGAAGAAGGCCUUCGGGUUGUAAACCGCUUUUGGCAGGAACGAAACGGUGUCCGCUAAUACCGGGCGCUAAUGACGGUACCUGCAGAAUAAGCACCGGCUAACUACGUG
rnacentral:rRNA from 1 species